GCCAUAGUAGCUCAGCUAGGUAGAGCAAUUGACUGCUAAUCAGUAGGACGCGGGUUCGACUCCCGUCUCUGGCU
rnacentral:tRNA from 1 species